rnacentral:rRNA from 1 species
GACGUAGGGCGCGAGCGUUGUCCGGAUUUAUUGGGCGUAAAGAGCUCGUAGGCGGCUUGUCGCGUCGUUCGUGAAAAACCCGGGGGCUCAACCCCCGGGCUUGCGGUCGAUACGGGCAGGCUGGAGUUCGGUAGGGGAGACUGGAAUUCCUGGUGUAGCGGUGAAAUGCGCAGAUAUCAGGAGGAACACCGGUGGCGAAGGCGGGUCUCUGGGCCGAUACUGACGCUGAGGAGCGAAAGCGUGGGGAGCGAACGGG